rnacentral:rRNA from 1 species
GAUGAACGCUGGCGGCGUGCCUAAUACAUGCAAGUCGAGCGAACAGACGAGGAGCUUGCUCCUCUGACGUUAGCGGCGGACGGGUGAGUAACACGUGGAUAACCUACCUAUAAGACUGGGAUAACUUCGGGAAACCGGAGCUAAUACCGGAUAAUAUAUUGAACCUCAUGGUUCAAUAGUGAAAGACGGUUUUGCUGUCACUUAUAGAUUGAUCCGCGCCGCAUUAGCUAGUUGGUAAGGUAACGGCUUACCAAGGCGACGAUGCGUAGCCGACCUGAGAGGGUGAUCGGCCACACUGGAACUGAGACACGGUCCAGACUCCUACGGGAGGCAGCAGUAGGGAAUCUUACGCGAUGGGGGAAAGCCUGACGGAGCAAAGUCGAGUGAGUGAUGAAGGUCUUAGGAUCGUAAAACUCUGUUAUUAGGGAAGAACAAAUGUGUAAGUAACUAUGAACGUCUUGACGGUACCUAAUCAGAAAGCCACGGCUAACUACGUG